CAAACUUUACAAUGCGAGCAAUCGUGAUAAGGAAACCUGAGUGCCUGUUGAUGCAGGCUGUUCAUUAGUUUAAAUUGAUAGUGAAGAAAGGGCAGGGCAAGACCGGUGCCAGCCGCCGCGGUAAUACCGGCUGCUCGAAUGAUGGCCACUAUUACUGGGUUUAAAGCGUCCGUAGCUUGAUUGUUAGGUCUCUUGGGAAAUCUUCACGCUUAACCUUAAGGCGUCUAAGAGAUACCGGCAAUCUUGGRACUGGGAGAGGUAAACCGUACUUCSGGGGUAGGAGUGAAAUCUUGUAAUCCUCGAGGGACGACCUAUGGCGAAGGCAGUUUACCAGAACAGCUUCGACAGUGAGGGACGAAAGCUGGGGGAGCAAACGGGAUUAGAUACCCCGGUAGUCCCAGCCGUAAACAAUGUGCGUUAGGUGUAUCGGCAGCCACGCGUUACUGAUGCGCCGCAGAGAAAUCGUGAAACGCACCACCCUGGGAAGUAUGGUCGCAAGGCUGAAACUUAAAGG
rnacentral:rRNA from 1 species